rnacentral:lncRNA from 1 species
UGUUAGGGACAGGAGGAGAACCUCGCCCUAACUUGAGCAAAGUUGAAGGCUCGGUUCCCUUUAGACCGGAUGGGGGGAGAGGUCCUACAACGCCCAUACGCGCCCCCACAGCCCUGUUAGGGACAGAAGGAGAACCUCGCCCUAACUCGAGCAAAAUCGAAGGCCCGGCUCUCUUUAGGCCGGAAGGUGGGAAGGGCCCAGCAAUGCCCAUAUGUACGGCCACGGCCGCGCUAGAGACAAGAGGAGGAC